UGUUUCUGUUUUUGUGUUUCCUUAACAGAUAUCUUAUCCAGUUUGGAAAAAGACCAGCUUCAAAGAACAUAUGAAAACUUGCACAAUAAUCAUAGUCAGCUACAAAAUGAAUUGAAGAAACUCCAGGAAAAAAUUGCAGGGAUGUGCUGUCCUGAAGGAUGGAAAAGAUUUGGAUGCAGCUGUUACUAUAAAUCCACUGAGAGGAAAAAAUGGGAUGAGAGUAGAACAGAAUGUCUGAACAGAGAAGCAGACCUCGUGGUCAUAAAUAGCAAAGAAGAACAGGAGUUUGUCAGCAACUUGGAAAAACCUGGAGCCUCUUGGAUUGGUCUAAAGGCACAGUUCAUCCACACAUCAACAGGAUGGGAACCAAAAUGGGA